CACAAACACAUAUCUAACUCACAAAGUGCUGGAAGAGAGAAAGCAAUGCUCUUUCCAGAGGAGGAACACGGAAAAAUCAGCCUUGUGGGUGAACAGGAGGAGAGUCACAUUCGCCAGCAGGCAGCACCCUGUGCAGGCAGUGGGAGAAAUCUGAGCUUCAGCAGCGUCCGGAGCAGGAUUUGCACGAAGUCUCCCGUUUCAAGUUUUAUGUCUCCUGGAGUCCUGGGGAAGGCACCCAGCCCACCCACAGCUCCCUUCUCAGAGCCCUAAGAAUUGAUGAGAAAGCCCCUCACUACCACAUGCAGGACACGCAGAAACUUCAGAUGAGUGGACUGGUCACGUGAUACAGCAAUGACAAAAACUUCAGUAUUGGCAUUCAUUCCAGCUGAUGGCAUUCCAGGAGCUUUUAAUGAAUUAAAGCCACAUUUGCCUGAAGAAGCCAGCGAAGUUACUAACUGGUUCAAAAACGAUUAUGUGCAUGAUGGGCAGUAUUGUUGCAGUUCAAUCACCAGUAUUGCUUCCACCAGAUUUGUGGUCUAUAUAUGUGUGCAUAUGGAAUAGAUUUCCACAGACCCACAACACGGAAGCAUGGCACAGAAGAUGGGAAAAAAUGGGGAAUACUCAUGUAGUUGUAUACUAAACCAUAGAAGAAUUUUGAAAAGAGCAGUGUCACAUGGAAAAUAAAUGUGAACAUAUUCUCCAAGGACAGCCAUGUCGUAAAAGAAAAAAAGCAGCUAUUUUUUGUGAUGUGAGACUUAAAAAUAUAGUUAAUGACUGUGAAAGUUGGCCAGCUCUUAUGGACUAUCUCCAUGCAAUUGCCCAUAAUCUAGCUCCAUAACUUUUUUAUUUGUUGAAUUUUCUUUUUAGUUUUUAGUUUUUAUUUUUAGUUUUUUUCACUAUUUGAAAUUGUCAGCAUUAUUUUUUUAUAAUUCGCCAUGCUACCUAUUUCAUCUUUGCAUCAUUUCCAAUACUGCAUGCAUCGUAUAAAGAGUUUUAGAGAGUCCUAAUUUGCUUUGUGCAUUUUUGCAAAUGUAACUCCAUGAAAGUGCAUUUUCAAAAUGUUGAACUUGUGUGUAAGCAGUAUGUGUGUGCAUAAAGACAUUAAAACUUCCUCGACAAAUGAAAAUGUAUCUUCUUUGUACAUCUGCUUUUAUGAAAGAUAAAAUUUCUCAAUGCCUUGGCUCUUUGGGCAACUGAUGUGGUGGUGAUAUGGUAGUGACUCAUCACGGUUUUUGAUCAAUCUUAUCAAAAGACUUAGAAGAGUCUAAGAAUCACAGCAUUUCAGAUGACUGCUGUAUAAAGCUGGGGGCACACAAUUACCAACCACAGUGUGAUAUACAUUUUUAUAUUUUGCUUUUUGAUUUAUUUAUUUAUGAAUAUGGUUCAUCUGCUCAUAACUGUUAUACCCAUGUGACUGUUGUUAGUAUAUCUGAGUGUUUCUGCUUGCAAAAAUAUGGUAUUAUUGUCCAUUUUAUUGUGUAAAGUAGCCUAUGAAGAGUUCUGUCAUGUUUUUGCAUGUUUCUUAAAUAAAUCCCCUUUAAAAAUGUAAGUAAAUAUUUUACAACGUUUUGAAAACUUUUUUUUUUUUUUAAGACGGAGUCUCGCUUUUUUUGUUGUUGCCCAGGCUGGAGUGCAGUGGCACAAUCUCGGCUCACUGCAACAUCCACCUCCUGGGUUCAAGCGAUUCUCCUGCCUCAGCCUCCUGAGUAGCUGGGAUUACAGGCAUCCGCCACCAUGCCUGGCUAAUUUUUGUAUUUUUAGUAGAGAUGGGGUUUCGCCAUGUUGGCCAGGCUGGUUUUGAACUCCUGGCCUCUGGUGAUCCGCCCACCUCGGCCUCCCAAAGUGCUGGGAUUACAGGCGUGAGCCACCACACCCGGCUGAAAAAGUUUUUUCUAAAAUAUUUUUGGAAUUUUGUUUUUCAGGAUUUUAACAUUGGGGAUGAUGGCAUUUGGGAUUAUGGUCAGCUCCCAUCUUGGACUUCUGGCCUCUAGAAUUGUGAGAAAAUAAAU
rnacentral:lncRNA from 10 species